CAUAUUCAAUUCAAAGGCGAUAAAUUGUUAAUUAGCAAAUUUGUGGUAGAAGACAAUGCUUUUUUUUACUUGAAGGGAAGUGGUAAAGGGAAGACCUGAGGUCCGAUCUCUUCAACACUAGUGAAGGGAGCAGACCCUAUGACAAAGGUAAGUGGUAAAGGAUUUUUGGUUUGCUACCAUGUUCUGCAUGUUUCCACCUCUGUUUCAAACACGACGCGAUAAAAUUGAAGACUUUUUCGGGGCACGUGUCAAAUGUAUUGCUAAUUCAUAGGCGAUGCUGAAAGUGGUUUCAUCCUCAUUUCUACGGUCUCUGUGCGCUAAUAUUUAAUGGUUUUCAUCGUGCAGCAACAUGGUAAACCGUUGUUGUGUCAAGACAUGCAAGCAACACUUUGAUUACAAGCCCCAACAUAAGCAGGGUGCAAAAUGGAAACUACACAGAACCUUGGUACGUCACCUGCGACGGCGACGUCACCUGCGAGUUCCGCGGAACCCCUGACGCCGUCACCAGCUGGACCAUCCGCGGCACUGGACCAUCCAGCGACGGCCGUGACGCCGUCACCAGCUGGACCAUCCGUGGCACUGGACCAUCCAGCGAAGGCCGUGACGCCGUCACCAGCUGGACCAUCCGCGGCACUGGACCAUCCAGCGACGGCCGUGACGCUGUCACCAGCUGGACCAUCCGCGGCCCUGGACCAUCCAGCGACGGCCGUGACGCCGUCACCAGCUGGACCAUCCGCGGCCCUGGACCAUCCAGCGACGGCCGUGACGCCGUCACCAGCUGGACCAUCCGCGGCACUGGACCAUCCAGCGACGGCCGUGACGCCGUCACCAGCUGGACCAUCCGCGGCACUGGACCAUCCAGCGACGGCCGUGACGCCGUCACCAGCUGGACCAUCCGCGGCCCUGGACCAUCCAGCGACGGCCGUGACGCCGUCACCAGCUGGACCAUUCGCGGCACUGGACCAUCCAGCGACGGCCGUGGCGUCGACUCUGCCAGUGCCGGAGACGACGGCGACGUCACCUGCGAGUUCCGCGGAACCCCUGACGCCGUCACCAGCUGGACCAUCCGCGGCCCUGGACCAUCCAGCGACGGCCGUGACGCCGUCACCAGCUGGACCAUUCGCGGCACUGGACCAUCCAGCGACGGCCGUGGCGUCGACUCUGCCAGUGCCGGAGAGGUCGGCGACGUCACCUGCGCCGCUGGUGUCAACACCGCAUGGACAUCAGCUGCGAGCUGGUAAACGGCGGUGGAGUGGAAGCAGAGCGCGCAAGCCACCAGCCAGCUGACUCAGAGCCCAGGGGGCGUUCGCCACCAACAUCCGCACGGCGCAGCUGCAGAGGUGAUUUCUGCCAUGGAGCAGCAUCCGCGGCUCCAUGACAUCAUCCUUCCAUCAUUCUCCAUCAUCAUUUCCGGAGCUCACCCGACGGCGGAGCUGGCGACGCCCGCGCCCCGCCUGGCCGUCCAGCCUGCGCGCUCCGCCGCGCGCCGCGGGCCCGGCUCGCCGAGACGUCCGGCUUAGGUCGGCGUUUGAGGCGCGGCGGGGGGCAACGUCUCUGUGCCCUGCUCCGGGUCCCCGCCGCCUGCGGUCUCUUCUGCUGCCGCCACUGAGGGGAACGGCUCUUCUUUGAAGACAUCAUCGGUCGACGGUGAUGCUGGCGGGCCGGUGGCGGCGUGCCCCGUCGGCAGCGCGCCUGGGGAGGACGCUGGUGACGACGAAUCUUCAUCGCCGUCGGCACCGGUCGCGAGCGAGUCGCUGUUUAGUUGGCCUGCUACUGUGCCAAAAAGUGCGACUGUGGCCAGACUGGUAUACGAUUUGUCAGUGCUUACGCCCCUCUUGCCGUGCCGGCCGUGCUCUUUGCCGUCUAUUGGGGAUGCGUUAGAGUUAUCGUUUUGGGGUUUAUACCGGUAUCAAGAUUGAUUUAAAAGAUGGAUUUCAUCACAUUUCUCGCGCACGUUCCACACGUCCUUUUGGUGUUUUGUAUGAUGGUAAAACGUGCUUAUACCUUUUCUCUGUUACCAAUGGGCCCUAUUAGGUACUGCAUCUCCUGCAUUAUUAGGUAGAGAUGCAGUACCAUUAUUAGGUACUGCAUUAUUAGGUACUGAAGGAGAUGCAGUUAGGUACUGCAGAUGCAGUACCUAACAGAUGCUUUCAGUGAACUUGUAGAGUCGAGAUUUAACGUCAGGUGUUUGGCGUAUUUAGAUGAUUUUCUUUUCAUGUCCAAGGACGCUGAAUGGUAUCGCUGCGUUUCUGACUAGUGUUGGGUUGUGUAUUAAUUUCAAUAAAUGAGUUCUCGUUCCGUU